AGCAGCCGCGGUAAUUCCAGCUCCAAUAGCGUAUAUUAAAGUUGUUGCAGUUAAAAAGCUCGUAGUUGAAUUUCGGGAUUGACACAUCGGUCGUGCCUUAAGGGGGUGUGAACUGGUGUAGUCAAUUUCUCACCUUCUGGAGAACCGCGAUGUCCUUAAUUGGGUGCCGCGAGGAACCAGGACCUUUACUUUGAAAAAAUUAGAGUGUUUAAAGCAGGCAUUUUUGCUUGAAUACAUUAGCAUGGAAUAAUAAAAUAGGACGGCAUGAUUCUAUUUUGUUGGUUUUCUAGGAUCACCGUAAUGAUUAAUAGGGAUAGUUGGGGGCAUUAGUAUUCAAUUGUCAGAGGUGGAAUUCUUGGAUUUAUUGAAGACUAACUACUGCGAAAGCAUUUGCCAAGGAUGUUUUCAUUAAUCAAGAACGAAAGUUAGGGAUCGAAGACGAUCAGAUACCGUCGUAGUACUUAACCAUAAACUAUAGCCGACUAGGGAUCGGAUGAUGUUAAUUUUUAUGUACUUCUAUUCGGCGCCGUUACGGUAAAACCG
rnacentral:rRNA from 1 species